rnacentral:sRNA from 1 species
AUGUACCACUCUGCGGUUCCCUAGCGCCGUCUACGCCCAACUGGCGUCUGCUCGCUACGUGCUGUUAGCU